UACGUAGGGCGCAAGCGUUAUCCGGAAUUAUUGGGCGUAAAGAGCUCGUAGGUGGCUGGUCGCGUCUGCCGUGAAAUCCCUCGGCUUAACCGAGGAACUGCGUCCGAUACUGAAAGGCUUGAAUCCGGGAGAGGGAUGUGGAAUUCCAGGUGUAGCGGUGAAAUGCGUAGAUAUCUGGAGGAACACCGGUGGCGAAGGCGGCAUCCUGGACCGGCAUUGACGCUGAGGCGCGAAAGCUAGGGGAGCAAACGGG
rnacentral:rRNA from 1 species